GAUGAACGCUGGCGGCGUGCCUAAUACAUGCAAGUCGAGCGAACAGAUGAGGAGCUUGCUCCUCUGACGUUAGCGGCGGACGGGUGAGUAACACGUGGAUAACCUACCUAUAAGACUGGGAUAACUUCGGGAAACCGGAGCUAAUACCGGAUAAUAUAUUGAACCGCAUGGUUCAAUAGUGAAAGACGGUUUUGCUGUCACUUAUAGAUGGAUCCGCGCCGCAUUAGCUAGUUGGUAAGGUAACGGCUUACCAAGGCAACGAUGCGUAGCCGACCUGGGAGGGUGAUCGGCCACCCGGGAACUGAGACACGGUCCAGACUCCUACGGGAGGCAGCAGUAGGGAAUCUUCCGCAAUGGGCGAAAGCCUGACGGAGCAACGCCGCGUGAGUGAUGAAGGUCUUCGGAUCGUAAAACUCUGUUAUUAGGGAAGAACAAAUGUGUAAGUAACUAUGCACGUCUUGACGGUACCUAAUCAGAAAGCCACGGCUAACUACGUG
rnacentral:rRNA from 1 species